GUAGGCGGCGGGAAGAGAGGUGGCAAGCAGCCCCAACGCUCGCCGAGAUCCCCAGGGUUUUACAAACGGAUCGUCCUGAAGUCUCCAAAACUGUAACUACUAUAUGCCCAAAUUUAUAUUCUCCCCUGGCUUUUCCAACAGGCUACCUGCCUGUGACAGUUUUCCCACGAACUUGGCUCUCCUCUGUCUACAGCGCCCCGGGGUCUCCCAAACAGACAGACACAGACAGACAGAAGGAGCAGACAAGGGGACUGUCCAAUUCCCACCCUCCGCGCCCACUCUCUCGAGGUAGCCAAGACCCUCCAGGAGUCCGAAAGUCACAGAGCGCUCUGCGCCCCUGCCACCUGCCCAGCCUCCCGCUGGGGUCCGGCAGUCCCCACUGGAGACCCCGACAUCGCGGGGCUCCGCGGCCCCCGCGCCGACCCAGGGCCGCCAGGGGGCGGGCGGGAGCAGCUCUCCGGGUGCCUCCCCCGCCGGUUCCCCUCCCCCGGCCCGCCGGCCACUCACGGAUUUUCACUCGGCGGUGGUCCAGGCGCGCAGCGGCGGCUUGCAGGGCGUCGAGGCGGCGGUGCAGCGCGGCGGUGCGGUGGCCCAGCGCGGCCGCCUGGCCCUCGAGCUCGCCGAAGAUGUCCCCGGCGCAGCGCGACAGGGUCUCCUAUGGACAGAAGUGCGGGCAAGGAGCUUUGUUCCUCCCCGAUGUCACCCUCCCACAGCCCACUUGCUAGCAGGCAAGAGAGGGGUGGAGGCCGGCAGUAAGGCAUGUACUGAACUGGACCUCUGGUGGAAUGGGUCACCCACGCUGGGCUUGAUUCCACAUAUGGUAUCUGAGACUCACACAGUGUGGUUGGAAGAUAGCACAGUGACCUCCCAGGCACAGCCCUCUGCCAGCCCUCCACUGGCUGCCCUAGGAUGCUGGCCUUCCUCCGAUGGGAGUCGGGCCCAGUCUGCUGUGAGCCAGGAGAAGCCAGCAAGCUCCCUGCGAGGCCUGGAGGAGCCCUUCUCACUCAGCUUGGUGUUCGAUGCCAGUGCCCCCGCCCAUUGUGGGGUGAGGGUGGGACUCUCAGCACAGCCCUGUCCAAAUAAAUCCUCUAAAGCCCUCUUCCAUCUGCAGUCACUUGAGUCUUUUGUAGCCUGUGUGAUUGAGCAUCUAAGCAGUCCUCAGCUAUUUACUUUGAAAUUUCGUAAGUGAUUUUGGUAUCUGUCAUUUCUUGAUGCAUCAGUCACAACUCCCCAUCUAACAUCCCAUUAAAUAAUAUAUAAAACAGAACAAAAACAUUGUGCCAACUUCUUCUAAGAAGAAUUUAAUGUCACUUCCUAAGUUAAGCAGUUGGGCCCUGUCCCAUGACUGUUCAUCUCUGCUCAAUAGUCAUCAAGAGCUGAGAAAGAAGAAAGGAGCCCUGGGGGCCUAAGCUGUGUGUGUGUGUGUGUGUGUGUGUGUGUGUGUGUGAUUAUGAGAAACACUCUCCAUUCUGUUUUUCAUUAAUAUCUAAAGGGAAAUUCUAUUAAAUCAAUUCCAAGACCAAAAAUUGUGGACAUUUGUGUGUUUUUUAAAGACACUAAAAACAAGUGGAAUGUACAGAUAGACUAUAUUAUUUCCCAACUUUUUGAUAUAUAGUACAAAUUGUUCCUGAAUUAAAAGUCUAAUGAUUGAUACAUUUUUUGUAUUAUCUUACCUGCUAGGGAAAAAAAAAUUGCCAUGAUGCGAAAAAGAUGCAACAGGCACCGUGGGGUAUAGCGUGUAGCAGUCUUCUGUCCAUGAAAUACUGUGGUUUAUAUGCAGGAUUAGCCAAGUGGUAGAAACCUCGGUCCAGCCAGUCUGGAGACUAGUAAACCAAAAAGAGACUUUUCUGCUUCUAACGGACAUAGGCAAGUGGUAAUUUCUCACCAAAUUAAAAAUAACACUGGUCUUUGAUUAGCUAGAGAGAUCUUCUUAAAAUGCUUAUCUGAUUGUGUCCCCCUCCCUCAGCUCAAAAAUCUGUAAAGCUUUUCCAUUACUUUUUGGAUUAACAAAAAUGAGGUCCACAAAGCCCAGAGAGUGUUGUCCCUACCUUUCUCUCUAGCCGAUUUCCUGUCUCCCUCCUCCUGUACUGCCUCCCCCACCUUGUGAUCCAGGCCAUAUGGAUUCAAUGCCUCCUCCAUUCUCCCUUCUCUCUCUCCUUUGUUCAGUCAGCUUUUCAGAUUUUGGUUCAGAUGUCACUUCCUUGGCCCUCCCCUCCCAGGCCAGAUCAAGUCUCCCUAUUCUAGACUACUAAACUUUUUGAACAUUUAAGUGUUUCUAUUUAUAUAUUUAUAUAAUUUAUUAUUAUCUAUAUUAGGGCCCUGAAAAGAAACAAAUCAACUCAGAGGGUUCAACUAAGAGAACUUAAUGAAGAAACAAAAACCAGAGGUGCUGCGGCACUCAGGAACUAGCAAGAGCAGGAAACCUUUAUGAAUCCUUGGUUCAAAGGGGUAGAAGGGAGCACCACCUCGAUUCCCCACCCCAGGAAUGGAGUACUCAUCUACUAGCAGUUCGAAGUGCCAGGACCAACAGGUCUCAACUAAAUUUUUCUCUGGGACCUGUCCUUGCCUAAGGGGAACUUCCUCACCCAAAAGCAUGCCCCCUUUCCCUGGGGCAGCCUCAUGCAAUGACUGGUCUGUGCAGAGGUGUGAAGAUCCAGUUCACAUGCCCCAAAUUGGGACAACUAACUACAGGGCCAUCCUAGCCCACUCUGCCCAAUCCUGAUCCUCUCACUCCCCCACCCCAAGUGGUCAUCCCAUGAACACUCCCCAGCUAACUUCCUGUGGGCACAGUAUCAGGGGCUGCUUCGCACAGAACCUACCUAGAGAAAGGCCAAGGUAAAGAAAGUGUCACCCAAGCCCUAUAAGAGCUUCCACUUUGGGCAAGCAGUGAGUAGGGAAAACAGAUCUCCGCCUCUCCCACUUCUCUAUUUCCUGCCUGGACCUUCUAUUGGUGGAAGCCAUUGGGUGACAUAACCCACAGGAAUCAGCCUUCUGGGGUAAAACACAGCAGAAGAUAGAUAAUAGUGGGGAGAAGAGGGCAGAGACAAAAUUUCCCCUUAGUAAUCUGGUAGUACAUACAGUGGCAAAAGAAGCCCCAAAUAACUAAGAGUCUUAGCUUCCAAUUUAAUAGAACUAUGGCUAUUGAUAUAGUUUGGAUGUGUGUCCCUGCCCAAAUCUCUUGUUGACAUGUAAUCCCCAAUGUUGGAGGUUGGACUUGGUGGGAAGUGAUUGGAUCAUGAGGGCAGAUAUCUCAUGAAUAGUUCAGUAUCAUUCCUUUGGUACUAUCCUGACAACAGUGAGUGAAUUCUCACAAGAUCUGGUUGUUUAAACGUGUGUGGCACCUCGCGCCCUAACUCUUGCUCCUGCUCUGGCCUUGUGAUGUGCCUGCUGCUCCCUUCACCUUCCACCAUGAUUGUAAGCUUCCUGGGGCCUCCCCAGGAGCUGAGCCCAGCAUCAUGCUUCCUAUACAACUUGCAGAACCAUGAGCCAGUUAAACCUCUUUCUUUAUAAAUUAUCUAGCCUCAGGUAUUUACAGCCAUAUGAGAACAUCCUAACAGCUAUGUUCUCUAGUAGAAGGCUCCUUCCUUCUUUGUUAACAAGGACUUCCAAUCAAAAGCCAGCUGGCAAGGAAACCUGAGGAAUGCUGCAUAACUGAGCCUUUUCAGACAUGAAGUAUGGAGGAAGAGGAGGAAGACAGCAUGUAUUAGAAAGCAACAGAGACAACUCGC
rnacentral:lncRNA from 1 species